rnacentral:misc_RNA from 1 species
AAGUCGUAACAAGGUUUCCGUAGGUGAACCUGCGGAAGGAUCAUUACAGUAUUCUAUUGCCAGCGCUUAAUUGCGCGGCGAUAAACCUUACACACUUUGUUUUUAUUAUUAAAGACACCAUUGCUUUGGUGGAUGGGUGUAAAAGCUUGUCCGCCAGAGGUUUAACCAAAACUCAAUUAUAUCAAAGGUAACUUUUUUAAAUUGUCAAUUUUAUUACAUUUGCUGAUUAAUUUCGGUGGAUACAAAUAUUUAAAA